rnacentral:misc_RNA from 1 species
UGUUUCUUGCUCUGCGUACCUACACGAUGGCAUCAUUUUUUGUCCCGACGACCCUCGUUCGUUUAGUUGCCUCCGUUUUGGUGGGGUGCACAAGGCGGAAUUUGUAGCUUGGUCCGUUACCCACGUCGCGUCCAGCUGUCGUGGUGAACGGGGCACUUGUUAAGCUCUCGGAUAUGGAAAGCAUUGUGUGCAUUGACACCCAUCCUUGGCCGAGCAUGCAUUAGAUGGACCCCAGCCGCGGUGUACGACUGUCGCUCCCGCCUCGGUUCGAUCGUGCGGGAAUGACGCU